AAACCUGAAAAUAAAACAUCGAUACACUGGGUUUUUCUAUUUCAUUAAUUCUUUUUAAGUACCUUAUGUACUCAAUUGAAAUCUCUCUUUUUAAAGACCUAAAGAAAGAAGAGUUGGAAGCAGUCUUUGCCUUAGAUUCUUCCAAGACAAGUCUCUCAGGUAAAAAGCCCAGCAUCCUUGCUGUUACAGGUGAGGUUGCCUAGCAACUCUCAUCCACCACCUGAAUCUGCCUAAAUGCAUCAGUUCCAAGAGCCACUAGCCUGUGGAUCAGUUACUAAGACAGAAAAUGAAGACAAAGAUGAAGACAUUAGAGAAGUACCCCACAGAGUAGAAAAUGUGGAAGACACUGUCCUGGAUUGCAAGAAUGGAAGCCAACCCCAAGAAUGAUAGAGAAGAGCCUACAUGUGGCCUCAGGUUACAUACCCUAGAUAUUUACAAAAGAGAUAAAUAAAUUUCUGUGUUAGCAGACCUUGUUGUUGUUUAUUUGCUAAGAUGUGUCUGACUGCCCUGUUAAUUUUGUCAUUGUUUCUGCAGUCUAAAUUAAUUUUGUCUGACACAGGUAGC
rnacentral:lncRNA from 1 species